AUACGGAGGGUGCAAGCGUUGUUCGGAAUUAUUGGGCGUAAAGCGCGUGUAGGCGGUAAAUUAAGUCAGGUGUGAAAGUUUUCGGCUCAACCGGAAAAGUGCACUUGAAACUAAUAUACUUGAGUACUGGAGAGGUAAGCGGAAUUCCUAGUGUAGCGGUGAAAUGCGUAGAGAUUAGGAAGAACACCGGUGGCGAAGGCGGCUUACUGGACAGAGACUGACGCUGAGGCGCGAAAGCGUGGGGAGC
rnacentral:rRNA from 1 species